rnacentral:rRNA from 1 species
UACAGAGGGUGCAAGCGUUAAUCGGAAUUACUGGGCGUAAAGCGUGCGCAGGCGGUUAUAUAAGACAGAUGUGAAAUCCCCGGGCUCAACCUGGGAAUGGCGCUUGUGACUGCAGUGCUGGAGUGCGGCAGAGGGGGAUGGAAUUCCGCGUGUAGCAGUGAAAUGCGUAGAUAUGCGGAGGAACACCGAUGGCGAAGGCAAUCCCCUGGGCCUGUACUGACGCUCAUGCACGAAAGCGUGGGGAGCAAACAGG